GAGUACUAAGGUCAAUUUGGGUUGUUAGCUAGCUUACAAUUUAAGACGAUCUUGACUAAGAAUAACAAAUCACUAAUUCUUGGGUCGUAUAUUACACAUUUGGCAGUUUGUUUAGACGUUCUUGACCCUCAUGACCAUGAUUUACAUUUGGCUUGUGACAUAGACUUUUUAGAUGUGAUUUGUCCUGAAAAGAUGGGAGUCGUGGAUGAGAUGGAUGACAUAUUUCGAUUUACACUUUCGGGGUCCACUCGUACACCAGUUCGUAGUCCCUCUACGCGUGCAGGUCCCUCAUUUGCUUUUGGAGUUGCCGAUGAUGAGGUUGGCCCUUCUACUUAUGUGCCUCCUCUGCCAUCAUCUUUUGAUGUUGAGUGAUGACAUCUUUGGACACAAGUCCACCAUAUGGACGAGUGGGUGACCAAUAUUGCAAGUCAAGUGGCCCAGAUUUCCCAGAAUUUGGUAGCCUACUUCCCCCAUGUGGGCUUUACAUCGCCUUUUCCACCUAUUCCAUAUCUACUUGAGACCUUCCUCUAUGUUUUUUAGGGAAUUUUCAUUGUCCCAUCUCUUUUAUUGGUUUUAUUGCCUCCGUUGAGGACAAUGUCUGAUUUAGGUGUGGAAGAGGGAGUUUUAGUACAGCUAGUCCUGCUCCUUUUCGAUGUUUUAAGUUUUUUUUUUUUUUGUUAUUUGUGAGUAUUGUUGUGAUUAUUUGGGAUUGACAGUAGGUAGUUGACUCCAAUUUUUUUAUUGCCAAGUUUUAUUGAUGAGAGUGUAUCAAGUGUGAUAUGGUUAAAUUUGAGAAUGUUUCUUUGGUGAAUAUUUGAAAUCUAGUGACUUUUGCGACUUUUAGUUAACUCUCUUAGGCAUUGUGAAUAUUUGCUUGGCAUUUUUCUUGUAAAUUAGUUCAAUUUUUAAUCUUAGUUCUCCAUAUUUGAGAAAAUGAAACGGGCUUGUGUUAUUUUGUACAAUCUCUAGUGCUAUUUUAUUGAUUGUUUGUGAAUAAAGUUGG
rnacentral:lncRNA from 1 species